UAAAUCAAUUAACUCUGCGGCAGUGAAAAGCACAAUUACUUUUUCACUUAUUUGUUAUAUUGUCUACAAAUUGGAAACACCGGUAUAAAAAUGAGAUUUCUACAUUUCUAUAAUUUGCUGUUUACUUUAUUAGUAAACUUGUUGUACUGCAUAUGUCAGGAGGAUGUAAUAAAUGACUGGGUACAUUCAAACAACUGCCUCCCAGACGCGCCGGUAAACCUCGACUUCUGCACAUGCAAGUGUUCCGAAGUAACUGCUGCCCUUCGCUCCUCGCCGGACUUACAAUUGCAGGUCUCAAGAAGGCUUCGAAGUAGGCG